GCAUGCAUACAGGUAGCAAUUGAAGAUCGGCAACUGCAAUUGAAGAGCGCUUUUUUGCGGCUACACUUUUCACAUAUUGCUUAUUGGAUUCCAAGUUGAAGUGAAGGAGUUAUUGGAUUUUGAAGUGAGUGCAUGCAAUCUAAGGAUAGUAAGCAAUCCGAUUUGCUUGUAGUUGUCUCUUGAGCUAUAUCUUGAGCAAUUUAAAAAGAUUUUGGCUCAAAAUUUCAGGGAAUGUGUAAUUUCAUGUAAUU
rnacentral:lncRNA from 1 species